UAAAAAAAAAAAAGAGGAAAAGUAACCAUUCAAAUCGAAACUUUGGGCUCUUAAAACCCAAAAUUAGGAUAAUAGAAGUACUCCCCAAAUCCACAUCCUCUUUCUGUAAUCGAAACAACCAUUCAUCAAAACUCAACGCCAAAAUUCUCCCAUCCUGAUUCUGAAGAAACCCUACAAAUUCAGAUGUCUAGUCGCUCCAGCAGUACUGACAACUCUUUUGACGUAGAGGAACUAUUGCAGAUUGAGACAAGAUGUCGAGAGCUAAGAAAAGAGAAGGACAUGCUGAGGGACUCACAACCUCAAAGCUUUGAACUGAUCAGGAGAUUAGAACUACAUGUGAAGACAUUAUCAGAAGCCCGUGCAGAAGACGAGAAACGCAUCCAGGAGCUGGAAAGAGAGUUGAACAACUGCUCUCAAGAAAUAGAUUACUUACAGGAUCAACUGAAUGCAAGGAACGAAGAGAACUAUUGUCUGGGAGAGCAUGUACAUAGCCUUGAGCUAAAAAUCGCAGAAACGGGAAGUUUAGAGGAGACGGUUGGCAGUUUAAGUGAAGAACUGAACUGGUCCAAUUCAGAGCGCUUGUUUUUUAUGCAGGAAUUAGAGAGCAAAGAAGUGGAACUACAAAAUUCAGCUUCAUGCAUAGAGAAACUAGAAGAGUCAGUUUCUUCUGUUGCAUUGGAGUACCAAUGUGAAAUAGAGAGCAUGAAGCUUGAUAUGACGACCUUGGAGCGGAGGUUUUUCGAAGUGAAGAAGUUGCAGGAAGAGGAUGCAAGAGAAAAAGUGAGGAUGAAUGAGUUGAUUCAAGAUUUAGAAAUUCAGAUUCAAAAUGACCAAGAAAUUAUUGGAAGUUUGGAGAAGGAAAAUAAAGAACUCAGGUUUAAGUUUGAAACGUCCCAAAGGAAUGCUGAAGUCUUUUGUCGGAAGAUGGAAGAAGAAUUUAAAGAAUGGCUAGAAAGAAAUGAUGGACCUCCAUUAAGUAAUCAGUCAUUAUCACGUGACCUUGAAGAAAAUAUUAGCACUUGUGGCAACAUUCUGGGUCCACUCCUUUCCAGACUGCCAGUUGCAGGAGCAACAGAUGCAGAUUUGAGGGGCAAGAUGGAUAAGAUGUCCAGUCAAAUCCAUGAGUAUGAACUUCUCGUGAAGCAGCUUAAGGAAGAAGUACAAGAGGAAAAAUCAAAGGCAAGGGAUGAAGCAGAGGAUUUAGCUCAAGAAAUGGCAGAGUUACGGUACCAACUUACAGGUUUGCUUGAAGAAGAGCGCAAACGCCGUGCUUGCAUUGAACAAAUAUCUUUACAAAGAAUUGCUCAAUUGGAGGCUCAGAUUAAAAGAGAGCGGACAAAAAGUUUCAGUUCUGUCAGGCUUAUCCAUGAAGCGUAGCAAAUUGACUGGAUUAAAACAGUUGCAUUUCAGCAUUGAUGAAAUGUACUUAGAGGUGCUUAUUCAUAACCUUCGUACCUUCAAAUUCCUUAAGCCAUAUCUUUGAUUGCCGAUCAAGAAAACCAAUAUCUUUGACUUGGAAGUACUGGAAGAUCUGUAGUUCUGAAGAGUCUGCACGGCGUGUAGACAAUAAUUAAGUUUACAACUGCGCAAAAUGCAAAUGCAAACUUCAAACUCUUCUUGUGGGUUGCUUUUUAGAGCCUCAAGGAGAUAUGGUUUGAAAUUCAUAGAACAGACGCGGCUCUCUUGACAAGCUCAUAUAGUAUCCAUCAGUUCCCGAAAUGAUGUCAAUCCUCAGAUAAGGAGUGAAUUAUAUUUAUGGUAUUGGAUUGUUUAUUGUAUCCAUCAGCUUCUUCAAGGUUGUAUGUUGGGUAUUCAUAGGCUUGUUAAGUUAUGAAGCAUGUUCACCCAUUGCGAGCUGGGCUGCUGCUACUGUUGUCUGAAGAUGUAAUUGUAUAGCAAGGAACUGUUUGUUAUUUUAUGCAAGGGAAAAUUCAAUUUA